rnacentral:rRNA from 1 species
CCUACGGGAGGCAGCAGUAAGGAAUAUUGGUCAAUGGACGCAAGUCUGAACCAGCCAUGCCGCGUGCAGGAUGACGGCCCUCUGGGUUGUAAACUGCUUUUAUACGGGAAGAAACCUCUGGUUGCGAUCAGAGCUGACGGUACCGUAAGAAUAAGGACCGGCUAACUUCGUGCCAGCAGCCGCGGUAAUACGAAGGGUCCAAGCGUUAUCCGGAUUUAUUGGGUUUAAAGGGUGCGUAGGCGGCUUAUUAAGUCAGUGGUGAAAGACUUCAGCUUAACUGAAGAACUGCCAUUGAUACUGAUGAGCUUGAAUAUACUUGAGGUGGGCGGAAUGUGUCAUGUAGCGGUGAAAUGCUUAGAUAUGACACAGAACACCGAUUGCGAAGGCAGCUCGCUAAAGUAUGAUUGACGCUGAUGCACGAAAGCGUGGGGAGCAAACAGGAUUAGAUACCCUGGUAGUCCACGCCCUAAACGUUGAUAACUCGAUGUGUGCGAUAUACAGUACGNGUCCAAGCGAAAGCAUUAAGUAUCCACCUGGAAGUANGGUCGCAAGAUUGAAACUCAAAGGAAUUGACCGGNNGAGAGNGCGAGGNGACACGAGGGAGGAG